UACGUAGGGUGCAAGCGUUGUCCGGAAUUAUUGGGCGUAAAGAGCUCGUAGGCGGUCUGUUGCGUCCGCUGUGAAAACCCGGGGCUUAACCCUGGGCUGGCAGUGGAUACGGACAGACUAGAGGUAGGUAGGGGAGAAUGGAAUUCCUGGUGUAGCGGUGAAAUGCGCAGAUAUCAGGAAGAACACCCGUGGCGAAGGCGGCUCUCUGGAACGCAACUGACGCUGAGACGCGAAAGCGUGGGGAGCAAACAGG
rnacentral:rRNA from 1 species